CGGAGAGUGGCGCAGAGGCUAGCGCGCGUCGUUCGGGACGACGAGGCCGCGGGUUCAAGUCCCGCCUCUCCGACCA
rnacentral:tRNA from 1 species